AUACGUAGGUGGCGAGCGUUGUCCGGAAUUACUGGGUGUAAAGGGCGUGUAGGCGGGAAUACAAGUCAGAUGUGAAAUACCGAGGCUUAACUUCGGGGCUGCAUCUGAAACUGUGUUUCUUGAGUGUCGGAGAGGAAAGUGGAAUUCCCAGUGUAGCGGUGAAAUGCGUAGAUAUUGGGAGGAACACCAGUGGCGAAGGCGACUUUCUGGACGAUAACUGACGCUGAGGCGCGAAAGCGUGGGGAGCAAACAGGAUUAGAUACCCUGGUAGUCCACGCCGUAAACGAUGGAUACUAGGUGUAGGAGGUAUCGACCCCUUCUGUGCCGGAGUUAACACAAUAAGUAUCCCACCUGGGGAGUACGGCCGCAAGGUUGA
rnacentral:rRNA from 1 species